GUGCUCACUUUGGCAGCACAUAUACUUAAAUUAGAAUGAUAUAAAGAAGAUUAGCAUGGCCCUGCUCAAGGAUGACAUGCAAAUUGGUGAAGCAUUUCACGUUUUU
ensembl:snRNA U6 U6 spliceosomal RNA